AUUGAACGCUGGCGGCAUGCUUUACACAUGCAAGUCGAACGGUAACAGGCCUUCGGGUGCUGACGAGUGGCGAACGGGUGCGUAAUGCAUCGGAACGUACCCAGAGGUGGGGGAUAACGCAGCGAAAGCUGUGCUAAUACCGCAUGUGAUCUGAGGAUGAAAGCGGGGGACCGAGCAGCAAUGUUUGGCCUCGCGCCUUUGGAGCGGCCGAUGUCGGAUUAGCUAGUUGGGGGGGUAAAGGCCUACCAAGGCGACGAUCCGUAGCUGGUCUGAGAGGACGACCAGCCACACUGGGACUGAGACACGGCCCAGACUCCUACGGGAGGCAGCAGUGGGGAAUUGUGGACAAUGGGCGCAAGCCUGAUCCAGCAAUGCCGCGUGCGGGAAGAAGGCCUUCGGGUUGUAAACCGCUUUUGGCAGGAACGAAACGGUGUCCGCUAAUACCGGGCGCUAAUGACGGUACCUGCAGAAUAAGCACCGGCUAACUACGUG
rnacentral:rRNA from 1 species